rnacentral:rRNA from 1 species
UACGUAGGGGGCAAGCGUUGUCCGGAUUUAUUGGGCGUAAAGAGCGUGUAGGCGGCUUGGAAGGUCAGCUGUGAAAACUCGAGGCUCAACCUCGAGACGUCGGUUGAAACCACCUGGCUAGAGUCCGGAAGAGGAGAGUGGAAUUCCUGGUGUAGCGGUGAAAUGCGCAGAUAUCAGGAAGAACACCCGUGGCGAAGGCGGCUCUCUGGGACGGUACUGACGCUGAGACGCGAAAGCGUGGGGAGCGAACAUGG